UACGGAGGGUGCGAGCGUUGUCCGGAAUCACUGGGCGUAAAGGGCGCGUAGGUGGCUUCUCAAGCGCGCGGUGAAAGCCCGGGGCUCAACCCCGGGUCGGCCGUGCGGACUGGGAGGCUCGAGCACUGUAGGGGCGGGUGGAAUUCCGGGUGUAGCGGUGGAAUGCGUAGAGAUGUGGAGGAACACCGAUGGCGAAGGCAGCCCCCUGGGUUAACACUGACGCUCAGGCACGAAAGCGUGGGGAGCAAACAGG
rnacentral:rRNA from 1 species